GCCUGAGGGGAGGGGGGGAAAUAUUGUUUUCCUGCGCAUGCGUCGAGUAUGCCCUCCAGACGUUGUUUGAUGCCAGCUCACAUCAGCCUCAGCCAACAACAGGUGUGAUCGGUAUGGUGGUGCAACAACAUCUAGAGAGAAACAGACUCCCCAUCCUUGAGCUACAGGGACAUUUGUCAGGGCAAACAAGGCACAAUUUUAUGGAACAAAGUCUAUGAUGUAUCAAGAUGGAUCAAAGUCAAACAAAUAACAGGACCAUGAAAAGGUCAGAAGCAAAUCUGAAAGACCGGGAGGAGGAAUUACCAUCAAUGUCAAUAAAGGGCAGCUUGUGGAGAAACAGGAAAUUGUUCAGAAAAGAGAGCAACAAUACUCAGCAUUUUGUAAUCUUUAACCUGGGAGGGGAAAUCUGUGGCCCUCCAAACGUUGCUGAAACUAAACUCCCAUAAUCUUU